CGCAUUAUGCCGUGGAUAGUUAGGGCGUGUUUGGUUCGCGUUUUUUUUACCCUAGAAUCAGAAUCGGAAUGGAUAAAUUCGUUUGUAGGUGUUUGGUACGUGGGAAUUCUAUUCAGAUUCCGAUUCCCGAGUGGAAUGGGAAUCCCCCAAUCACCUCAUUUUUUAAUCCGACCUAGGAGGCCGGAUUGAAAGUUGAAUCCGGACGGAAUGAUAUUUAUUCGGAUUAAAUUCAUUUUUUCUACUUUUUUAAUUAAAAUAUGAGUUAAAAUUUAAAAAUUAAAUAUAUAAUUUUAAAUUUUAAUUUGAACUUAAAUUAAAAUUUAAAAUUUAAUCAAGGAUUUCAAAUCUAACUUAUGAAUUUGAAUUUAAAUUAAAUUUUAAUUUAUAUAAAGUUUUAUUCAAAUUUUAUUUAAAAUUUAAAUUAAAUUUAUGGAUUCAAAUUAAAAUUUAAAUUGUAAUUUU
rnacentral:lncRNA from 1 species